rnacentral:misc_RNA from 1 species
AGCAAUUCCAUUUCAUGAUACAUCCAAACAUGACAGGCAAGUUAUUUGACGCAGCGUGUAGCGCGGAAGAAGAUUGAAACACGAUGACACCUUUGAAAAUAAACAAGAUUUAAUUCAAAAUCCUAAGAAACACAAGACUUAAUCCAAAGUUUAGAAUAAAAUAAAGCAAACCAGGUUUAAAAAGAUGAAAACUUCUUUGAAUAAAUUUGAAAACUUGUACAUAAUGAAAAU